UACGUAGGGUGCGAGCGUUAAUCGGAAUUACUGGGCGUAAAGCGUGCGCAGGCGGUUUUGUAAGCCAGAUGUGAAAUCCCCGGGCUCAACCUGGGAAUGGCAUUUGGGACUGCAUCGCUGGAGUGCGGCAGAGGGGGAUGGAAUUCCGCGUGUAGCAGUGAAAUGCGUAGAUAUGCGGAGGAACACCGAUGGCGAAGGCAAUCCCCUGGGCCUGCA
rnacentral:rRNA from 1 species